GUCUACAGCCAUGCCACCUUGAACAAGCCCGAUCCCGUCCGAUCUCGGAAGCUAAGCAGGAUCGGGCCUGGUUAGUACUUGGAUGGGAGACCACCUAGGAAGAUCAAGUGCUGUAGGUG
rnacentral:rRNA from 1 species